rnacentral:rRNA from 1 species
UAUAGAGGUCUCAAGCGUUGUUCGGAUUCAUUGGGCGUAAAGGGUGCGUAGGUGGCGAUGUAAGUCUGGUGUGAAAUCUCGGGGCUCAACCUCGAAAUUGCAUUGGAUACUGCGUUGCUUGAGGAUUGUAGAGGAGAGUGGAAUUCACGGUGUAGCAGUGAAAUGCGUAGAUAUCGUGAGGAAGACCAGUUGCGAAGGCGACUCUCUGGGCAAUUCCUGACACUGAGGCACGAAGGCUAGGGGAGCAAACGGG